GGCUCAGGCAGCCUGGGGCUGAGGGCAGAGGUCCAGGGAGAGCGGUGGAGGGUGCCAGGAGAGGCUGUGUCUUCCCAAGUCAAGCAUGUUGGCGGUGGCACCUGUGUCCGCUGACCUGAGCCUGGGCGGCCACCCACCUCAUCUUUAAGAAACAAGGCCCGUAGGGCCUUUCUUCAAACCACAUCCACCUCGCCAGCCCUCUGAGGCUGGCAGCACACCUCACUACCCAGCUGGCCAGUGGAAGAUUCCACGGAACCCUCUCCUCCUCAGCACAGAGCUGAGACCCCUCCAUGAGCCCCAUGCCCCUUCCUGGUGCUGGUGCUGCUGGAGCACGGCCUUGGCCUGGGGCAGCAGGGGCCACAGUGGACAAUGCUUUUGGGAGCUGGAGCCCACUUCCUGCCCCUGCAUCCAGCCAUGGCCUUUCUGAGGCAGCAGAGACUGGAGGCGAGCGUCCCGAGGCAAACGGCGGUGGCACCUGGCUCUGUGCAGGUCUUGCUCUGUAGCCAAGGAUGGAGCACAGUGGCGCAAUCUCAGCUCACCGCAGCCUCCACCUCCCAGGCUCAAGCGACCCUCCCACUUCAGCCUCAGGAGUAGCUGGGACCACAGGUGGGUGUGCCUCUGGCUGCUUUUAACAUCCUCCCUUUGCUGUUCUGAAAACUUCACGUCAGAGUCAUAUUUAAAUGUGUAAUUACUGCUCUUUCUCCUGCUUAUAAUUCAUUAUACUUUUUGAAUUUGAGGCUUGUGUUUUUAUGAACCUUGAAAAGCCCUCUGCUGCCGGCCUCUGGAGCCACCGUCUCCCUGCCCUGCUCUCUCCUCUGCCGAGGUGCCUGUUAAGCUGCAUUCUCUCCUCCACAGCUCCCCGCUUCCUGCAGGCUUCCUGUCUCACUUUCUUUCUGUGCUCCAGAGUCUAGGCAAUCUCUUUUGUUAGAACUUCCAAUUCACCAAUACUUUCUUAUGUUGUGUCUAAUAAGCUACAUCAUCUGCUCACUGGGUUUUUUAUUUCAGUGAUUAUAGUUUUCAUUUCCAGAUAUUCCAUAUGCCUUAAAAACAUCUGCAUGAUACUCCAUGGUUUUAACUCCCCUGAUGAAUACUGUGCAUUUAACCAUCCCAGCACGUGAGGUCCCUGGGGCUGACCCCUGCUGACCCUCUCAGAACAGCUUUCUUCCUCAACGUCUUGUAAUUCCAACCAGGCUCUUCGUCUGUCUACACUCUGGGAGCCGGAAGGCCGGGAUGAGGAAGUCUGAACAAAUGCCUUUUGUAUCAAUCAUUUAGCACCUCUAAUUUCUAGGCUUUUCUAGCAAGAGUCUUUUAGGAGACACAGGCCACGAUACUGUCAACAUAGGAAAAUGUGCAACUCCUGCGUCCCACCGUAAAACUCGAAGACGUCAAAAUACAUUCUUGAUUCUGCUCCACAAAGGGAUGUUUCCAUGGCGAUAUUUUCAAACAACAGAAAGUUCACGGCCGAUGGCGGUUACAGCUCAUGGAACUGAUGGGCAGGGCCGGGUGCAGCUUUGUAGCACGGCUGCUGCUCACAGAUUCUCUUCCAUUUGACUAAAAACCAUGCUGUCCACACCAAACAUCUGGCCUCAUCCGGAUGUUCAAAGCCAUGAAAUACAGCACUUCUGGCCAAGAAGUCUAAAUCACAGCCGAUCUACACGAGGCGGAUGGUCCACAACGCCAAGUUCCUACCCGGGCACUGAGCUCAACGCUCGCACAACUCCAAACGAGGGCGCAACCAUAUUCCCACUGACAUCCUCCUUGGGGCAGCAAGACAAGCUCCGAACAGCCUGUCCUGGGCCAACAAGAGAAGCUGGCGGGCGCCCGCUGAGCACUGUGAGCCAUCUUGUGGUGAGACUGGCUUCUCCUUCCAAUCUCCAGGUUUCUCUCUCUUUCUGCCUUCUUUCUGUCAGUUACCGUCAUUGAUCACUUAAAGAAAGACAGGGCCUACCCCUGUCUGCUGCGUGACCUCAGCCCUCCCGCCUGCCGAUGGGAGCUGGGUCAUCUCUUACGCCUUUCAGCUUUGGCUUCUUCCGCAGUGUAUGUGAAGGGGUCACACAGAGGUAAGGCUGUGCGUCCAGCCCUUGCCUGCACAACCUCCAUGCCUUCCCCAUCUCCAGGCCGGGGUGGGGUAGGGGUAGGGUGGGGUGGGGCGGAAGGACCAGUUCCACAGGAAGCCUGUGGAGGCAAACAGGGUUAUGUGGCAAGGGUGGGAAGGAGCAGGGCCUGAGCCCCAUGGUGGUUUCACCAGCAUCCAGCGGUCACCAUGGUGAACAAGAAGCCAGGAAGGAAGGAAGCAAUGUCGGCAAAAGGGCUCAGAUGACAACCAAACAGAACGGUUUCCCACCCUGGGCCUCCUUUCCACACACACAGCAUCGUGGGUAUUUUAAAAUAAACAAGAUCAACGUCCAAACCUGCGCUGAGGCCUGAGCUGUGUCCGUCACUCCUGCAGGGCACAGGCCUGCCUGGCCGAAUGCAUGGGCGGUGAGAGCACAGGGCUGGGGGGACCCCUCUGUCGAGGGGCCACAGCUCCUCACACAGCAGAGCUUUAUGGAUGAAAGGGCUGAGAGGCACAGACAGGCUGAGAAAUGGGCCCAAAGUCCCACAGCAUGGAGCCAGGAGGUAGCAGACGGCCCCUGCCCGCCCCCCUCACUUGGCUGACUGCUCCCACGGCAGCCACCACCUUUAUCCUGAGUCCCGGGGUCCUCCAUCAAAUCGCUGAGCCUCGGGUGGUCUUGUGGACCCCAGCUUGUCUGUGUUGUGUUGACAACAUGGGCCUGGCUACCGGCCUAAGUGCACUUCUGAGGGGUGUCAGGGAAGCCUUUGCUGCGGCUUGGGGAUUACAGAAUUUUAAACAGCAAGAACCUUCCCUUUGCUAGUCCAAGCUUCCCUUUGUAUGAGAAACUGCUUACGUCUAGAGAGGAAAAAUGGUUGAGAAAUAGGAGGACCAGAGACCAAUCACGCGGAGUUCUUAAUCAUGUGAAAAUAUUUUAUUUUGACGUGCUUUUUCUUGAGUGCCUGAAUGUGGUGGCUCUUAGGGUAACCCCAGAAUCCUCACUGCGGCAACAAGACCUGG
rnacentral:lncRNA from 10 species